AGUGUGCGUAAUUUAAAGAAAAUAUCAAGCUGUGACCUUGAAAAUAGA
rnacentral:tRNA from 1 species